AUUCCCAUAUCUAUGUAGGUUCCUUGUAUAUACACUAAUACACUAGUAAAUUUGAUUUUCUACCAUCAAAAAAAAAAAGAAAAAUAACUCAAAAUAUAUUAAACACUUUGUUAUAGAUUUAAUGUUUGUGUCCUCCCCAAAAUUCGUAUGUUGAACUUUAAUUCCCAAUGUGAUGGUAUUUAGAAAUGCAACCUUUGGGAGAAGAUUUGAUUAUGAAAGUGGAGCCCUCAUGUAAAAGAUUAAUGCCCUCAUAAAAGACAUCAUAGCUUCCUCACCCCUUUUGACAUGUGUGGACAUGGUGAGAAGACAGCCAUCUGUGAAGCAGGGAGCAUAACUUCAGUAGACACCAAAUCUGCUGGCACCUUGAUCUUAGACUCCCCAGCCUCCAGAAUGCCAUAAGACAGCUGAUCUGGGAUCCUGGGAAACGCGGACUGCAGGGCUCAGUCUCUCCCUCUAAUGGAGAGCUGAGCUGGAGAAAGACAAAGGAUGGAGCCACCAUGCCCAAGCUCCUAGCCAUAGCGCCUAUAGAUCAUGUCAUUGGAUACUCCAGAAAAUGAAUAUGUCUUGAAGUGCAUGGAGUGUGUGAUUAAAUCCCUGAGUAGGAUAUUGAACCAGCCCUGCAUCCCAGGUAUAAAUCCCGCUUGGUCGUGGUGAAUAAUUUUUGCUUCUUCAUUUUGGAGGCCUGUGCUGCUGUGUAAGGAGUUUGAAUACUCCCUAGAGACACAACAUGGAGGGGCUCUGACAUCACAUAGAGAGGGAAAGGAGUCCAGCUUGGACCACCUUCAGCAGUUCCUGCAAAAGCCAAGGCAAGUGAAUGAAGAAGCCAUCUUGGAAAUGGAUCCCCUAGCUCUGUUCACCCCAGCUGAUGCCAUAUGGCUUAAGAGAUAAACCAGCCAGGUGAGCCCUUCCCAAAUUCCUGAUCCCCCAGUAUGAAAUGCUUGUUUUAAGCCACUAAGUUUUGGGCAGUAAUAGAUUAAGGAAACAGACUUUUGGUUUAAAUUUUGGGUUUCACUUUUUAGAAAUGAUGUUUUAUUCAUUCACCUAUUUAGCCACCUAUCCAUCCACCAACAUUUAUCAAGAGCUCAUUAUAUCUCUGAUGACACUGGGCUAAGUCCACCAGGAAGUUCUAAUAGAGUUUUAGCUUGGUAUUGUUUUGGCCUCAAAGUAUUCAGUUUUACUGUUCAGGAACUGAGAGUUCUUUUUUUAUAUUUUCCCUUCAUUUAUUCCAACACACUGAGCACCUCUCAUGUUCUAGGCACUGUAUAAAGUGUUGGUGAAGCAUUGCUGACUAAAACAAUAUAGUCUAUGUGCUCACUAGUCUUAUUUACAAAGGAGAAAUACAAAAACAAAAACGAAAACAAAAAUGGAACAAACAAGCAAAAACUUUUCUUCCAGUCCGUAAAAUAGGACACUAAUACAAACCUCAUAGGGUUUUCCUGAAAAUCAAAUGAUAUGAUGAAUGUGAAAGCUUUUUGUAGGUAGUUAUUGUUUAUAAAGGUAAAAGCUUUCAUUGAGUCUUUGUUUAAAUGUUUACUUAUUUUUGAGAGAGUGUACGCACAAGCAGGGGAGGGGCAGAGAGAGAGGGAGAGAGGAUCCCAAGCAGGCUCCAUAAGUGUCAGUGUAGAGACCGGCGCAGGGCUUGAACCCAUGAACUGUGAGAUCAUAACCUCAGCUGAAACCAAGAGUCAGAUGCUUAACUGACUGAGACACCCAGGGGCCCUCUUUUACUGUGUCUUGAUGAUAGUAUCAGUAGCAGAAGACAUCAGAGGCAAAACAGGGAUUUAACACUCAAAAUGAAAAUAAGUGUAUGUCAUAAGUGACCAUAUAUUGCAGGAAUUAUUAACCUUAAUUGCUGGGCCCUUAUUGGACUUCAGUGGAUCCAAAGAACUUCUGAAAUUAUAUGCAAGAUUAUGUGUGGAUAUGUUAUGCACAUUAUCUUUUGAAUGAGAGACCCAAUGCUUUUGUUAGAUUUUCAAAGGUGUUAGUGAUCCUGACAGGUAAGGAACCACUGAUUUGAAGAAUUAAAGCAAUUGCAAUAUAUUAAACUCUUCUAGGCAUCAACCAGCCUAUGCAGUAUUUUUUCUCAUAGUAAUUUAAUCUACACAAUCUCUCUAGAAACUGAGACUUAGAGAGGUUAAGUGACUUGUCCAAGUUUAGUAUAUAAUGGGCCUGGCAUUUCAUUCCAGCUCUGCCUUAUUCGAAAGGUCUUUCCACUGUAACAUGUUGAGUAUUUGAGUUCUUAAUUACAAGCCACAGUAACCAAUUAUGUUGGCUUAAGCAAAAAGGAAAUGCACUGAGAAGAUACUGCUGCUCACAAAUUUUCUGAGAUAGAAAGAAUGGAGAGCCAAAAUCAUUCCUAUCAUUCCAGUAGGGACUUUCUAGGGACAAAAUAUUACCCCUUCAAAAAAAAUGUCUGAGGUAUAAGCCCAAUGCACCAAUGGGUUUGCUAGGUGUUUAAAGAAGACCCAAAUAAACAGAUCCCAUCCCCACUUUUGUCUGA